rnacentral:rRNA from 1 species
AUUGAACGCUGGCGGCAUGCCUUACACAUGCAAGUCGAACGGCAGCGCGGACUUCGGUCUGGCGGCGAGUGGCGAACGGGUGAGUAAUACAUCGGAACGUACCCUAUUGUGGGGGAUAACUAGUCGAAAGAUUAGCUAAUACCGCAUACGACCUGAGGGUGAAAGUGGGGGACCGCAAGGCCUCACGCAGCAGGAGCGGCCGAUGUCUGAUUAGCGAGUUGGUGGGGUAAAGGCCCACCAAGGCGACGAUCAGUAGCUGGUCUGAGAGGACGAUCAGCCCCACUGGGACUGGGACACGGCCCAGACUCCUACGGGAGGCAGCGGUGGGGAAUUUUGGACAAUGGGGGCAACCCUGAUCCAGCAAUGCCGCGUGUGUGAAGAAGGCCUUCGGGUUGUAAAGCACUUUUGUCCGGAAAGAAAUCGCGCUGGUUAAUACCUGGCGUGGAUGACGGUACCGGAAGAAUAAGCACCGGCUAACUACGUGCCAGCAGCCGCGGUAA